GUUUUAAUUCAAGUUAUGAGCAUGAUACAUGUGAUAAUUACGCGAAUAGAAUUUGUCUAAAUAAUCUGCUAAAUAGAUCAAUUUUAUGUGAUCCGAUUUCAUGCACGCUUCCGCUGCCAACCCCUACACAUAGUACUGGCAUCCCUACGUAAGUAUACUUACUGAAUAUUCUUGUAAUAUUUUUUGCAGUGUUGAUUGUUGUUUGCUAAAUUUGACCUUUUGGUUGAUGUGAUCUCAAUUUUACUAUUGGAAUUUGGUGUUUUGUGUAUUUGUGUAGACUGAUUUGACAAUCGAUAAUGCUGAUAUUAUGGAAGACUCUGAAGGAAGAAAGAUUUCCUUAGUUCCAAACGUUUAGUUCAGAUGAGAGAACAAAGCUAAAAAGUGAAAGUGAUGAACUUGCUGCACAACAGGGAAAUAGAGUAACAACAUUGGCAGAUUGUGGGACAUUGAAUGCAGAACUUAGUUGUCUUCCAAUCCUAAGAUUCUUACAUUUAAGGUAGAAGAGGCACACAACUCAUUCUCUAAAGAGACAACCAUUGCAUCUACAAAUAAUUGAGCUCUCCGGAUAGAUUGGGAAUAUAUAAUAUAUAGUAUUAGUAUUGUGUUUUAGUAGAAGCAUAUAGGCACUUGGAUUUCUGUAUUUUCAAAUUUGGUAUUUUAUUCAAAUGAGUUGUAUAUAAAUAUUUGUUGAAUGAUUAAAAGUUCUUAUGAUUUAUGUA